rnacentral:rRNA from 1 species
GACGAACGCUGGCGGCGUGCUUAACACAUGCAAGUCGAACGGAAAGGCCCUGCUUUUGUGGGGUGCUCGAGUGUCGAACGGGUGAGUAACACGUGAGUAACCUGCCCUUGACUUUGGGAUAACUUCAUGAAACUGGGGCUAAUACCGGAUAGGAGCUCCGGCUGCAUGGUGGGGGUUGGAAAGUUUCGGCGGUUGGGGAUGGACUCGCGGCUUAUCAGCUUGUUGGUGGGGUAGUGGCUUACCAAGGCUUUGACGGGUAGCCGGCCUGAGAGGGUGACCGGCCACAUUGGGACUGAGAUACGGCCCAGACUCCUACGGGAGGCAGCAGUGGGGAAUAUUGCACAAUGGGCGGAAGCCUGAUGCAGCAACGCCGCGUGCGGGAUGACGGCCUUCGGGUUGUAAACCGCUUUCGCCUGUGACGAAGCGUGAGUGACGGUAAUGGGUAAAGAAGCACCGGCUAACUACGUG